rnacentral:rRNA from 1 species
AUUGAACGCUGGCGGCAGGCCUAACACAUGCAAGUCGAGCGGAUGAAGGGAGCUUGCUCCUGGAUUCAGCGGCGGACGGGUGAGUAAUGCCUAGGAAUCUGCCUGGUAGUGGGGGAUAACGUCCGGAAACGGGCGCUAAUACCGCCUACGUCCUGAGGGAGAAAGUGGGGGAUCUUCGGACCUCACGCUCUCAGAUGAGCCUAGGUCGGAUUAGCUAGUUGGUGGGGUAAAGGCCUACCAAGGCGAGGAUCGGUAACUGGUCUGAGAGGAUGAUCAGUCACACUGGAACUGAGACACGGUCCAUAGUCCUACGGGAGGCAGCAGUGGGGAAUAUUGGACAAUGGGCGAAAGCCUGAUCCAGCCAUGCCGCGUGUGUGCAGAAGGUCUUCGGAUUGUAAAGCACUUUAAGUUGGGAGGAAGGGCAGUAAGUUAAUACCUUGCUGUUUUGACGUUACCAACAGAAGAAGCACCGGCUAACUUCGUG